rnacentral:rRNA from 1 species
UGCAGAAUCCCGUGAACCAUCGAGUCUUUGAACGCAAGUUGCGCCCGAAACCAUUAGGUUGAGGGCACGUCUGCCUGGGUGUCACACAUCGUUGCCCCAACGCCAAAUGCUUCGUGCUAUGCGGCGUGUGGGGUGAAUGUUGGCCUCCCGCGAGCUAAGGCUCACGGUUGGCUUAAAUUUGGGUCCAUGGUAGGGUAUGCCAUGAUGGAUGGUGGUUGAGUAACGCUCGAGACCAAUCAUGGGUAACCUUAUCAUGCUUUGGACCUACAGACCCGCAUGCGUGGUGUAACCACUCUCACAAUGAGACCUCAGGUCAGGCGGGGCUACCCGCUGAGUUUAAGCAUAUCAAUAAGCGGAGGAAAAGAAACUAACAAGGAUUCCCUUAGUAACGGCGAGCGAACCGGGAAGAGCCCACCAUGAGAAUCGGUCGCCUCAGGCGUCUGA